rnacentral:rRNA from 1 species
AAAUUGAAGAGUUUGAUCAUGGCUCAGAUUGAACGCUGGCGGCAGGCCUAACACAUGCAAGUCGAACGGUAACAGAAAGCAGCUUGCUGCUUUGCUGACGAGUGGCGGACGGGUGAGUAAUGUCUGGGAAACUGCCUGAUGGAGGGGGAUAACUACUGGAAACGGUAGCUAAUACCGCAUAACGUCGCAAGACCAAAGAGGGGGACCUUCGGGCCUCUUGCCAUCGGAUGUGCCC